GAUGAACGCUGGCGGCGUGCCUAAUACAUGCAAGUCGAGCGAACGGACGAGAAGCUUGCUUCUCUGAUGUUAGCGGCGGACGGGUGAGUAACACGUGGAUAACCUACUUAUAAGACUGGGAUAACUUCGGGAAACCGGAGCUAAUACCGGAUAAUAUUUUGAACCGCAUGGUUCAAAAGUGAAAGACGGCCUUGCUGUCACUUAUAGAUGGAUCCGUGCUGCAUUAGCUAGUUGGUAAGGUAACGGCUUACCAAGGCAACGAUGCAUAGCCGACCUGAGAGGGUGAUCGGCCACACUGGAACUGAGACACGGUCCAGACUCCUACGGGAGGCAGCAGUAGGGAAUCUUGCGCAAUGGGCGAAAGCCUGACGGAGCAACGCCGCGUGAGUGAUGAAGGUCUUCGGGUCGUAAAGCUCUGUUAUUAGGGAAGAACAGAUGUGGAAGUAACUGUGGACAUCUUGACGGUACCUAAUCAAAAAGCCACGGCUAACUACGUG
rnacentral:rRNA from 1 species